AUGGAGCUGAUGGCAACUUCUUAUUUCAAGGAGGUAUUUACAAAGGACCCGACCCUCUCCUCGGAGUCGAUCCUGGAAAAGAUAGCUCCACGGGUCACACAGGAGAUGAAUGCCGCGUUAUGUGCACCAUUUAGUGAUGAGGAGGUAUCUAACGCCCUAUUUCAAAUAGGGACACUCAAGGCACCUGGUACGGAUGGAUUCCCCGCUCGAUUCUAUCAGCGUAACUGGGCAUUCAUGAAGGGGGAGAUUACUGCGGCGGUCCUGGAUUUCUUCAACACCGGAGUAAUGCCGGCAGGUGUGAACGAGACAGCUAUUGUACUAAUCCUGAAAGUGCCUUUCCCUAAGGAACUCAAGGAUUUUCGUCCAAUAAGUUUGUGUAACGUGAUAUACAAGAUUGUGUCUAAAUGUUUGGUAAACCGCUUACGCCCCUUGUUGGCUGAGUUGAUCUCUGACAACCAGAGUGCCUUCAUUCCUGGGAGGCUAAUCUCGGAUAAUUCAAUAAUUGCAUUCGAGUGUAUCAAUCAUAUUCAGACAAUGAAGAAUAACUUCCCGGCGGCUUGUGCUUACAAGUUGUACUUGUCUAAGGCGUACGACCGGGUGGACUGGGAUUUCCUAGAGAAAGCCUUGGGCAAAUGGGGUUUUUCUGCAACAUGGAUCUCUUGGAUCAUGGCUUGCGUAAGGUCUGUGACAUAUUCAGUGAAGUUCAAUGGAAAAUUACUGGAUGAAUUCUACCCUUCGAGGGGGCUACGGCAAGGUGAUCCAUUGUCUCCUUUCCUUUUUCUGUUUGUUGCUGAUGCCCUGUCUGCUCUUAUUACCAAAUCAGUUGAGGAUGGGGAGUUGAAGGGAGUGACCAUCUGCCGUGGUCCUCCGGAAAUAUCUCACUUGCUUUUUGCGGAUGACACAAUGUUGUUCUUUGAGGCAUCGAGCCAGCAAGCGGGCAUAGUCAGUGGGCUGUUGAACACUUAUACUGCGGCGACUGGACAACUUAUUAAUCCCGAAAAGUGUUCCAUCCUAUUUUCUGACAACUGCAGCACGAUGGUGGCGGAUGAGGUAAAGGACAUAUUAGAAGUUUCACAGCAAGUUUUUGGGCCUAAAUACUUAGGCUUACCUAUGCCAGAAGGAAGAGUGCAUAGAGGGCAAUUUGAAACGGUACAGGAGCGACUAAGAGCAAGGUUGAUUGAUUGGAGUGAACAGUUUGUAUCUCUGGGGAACAAAGAAAUUUUGAACAAAGCUGUUGCACAGGACAUUCCUACAUAUCCGCACAAAGCUGUUGCACAGGCCAUUCCUACAUUUGAACAAAGAAAUUGCCGGCAUCAGUUUGUGACGACUUAA
rnacentral:rRNA from 1 species